GGCGUGACACACUUAUUUUCGAUAGGCUAUAAAUACGUGAGCGAUCAGAAACACAGCUCAGUUUAUAAUUUCAAAUUGUGUUGGUCUGGUUCAGAAAUAAUACUAAAAAUGAAAAUUCUCUUCCUUGCCGUAUUGCUCAUUGUCGUCGUGAAUGUUACAUGUUGCAAACAAGAUCCAUGUGCCACUGUGAGAUGCGCUGGAACAUGUGUAUCAAAUCUUAAAACUUGCACUUUCCGUUGUAUUCCAUUUCCAAAGCCUAAGCCCUGCUUAAGCAAUCCUUGUUUCUUUACACUAUGUCCAGCAGGUACAACAUGUAUCCAAAAUCCAGUAACAUGCAAUGCAGAAUGUGUUGAGAUUCUGACUACACCUUGCACAGAAAAUCCUUGCAUGUGGACCAAGUGUUCUGCAAAUACAAGAUGCGUGGUAAAUCCGGAAACAUGCAACUCCCAAUGCGUCCCAAAUGAUCCUGUACUUUGUACAGGAAACGAAUGUUCAGGAAUAUCAUGUGGAGCAACUGCAACAUGCAUGGUAAACGAGAAUACAUGUCAACCGGAAUGUGUACAAUGCAAUAAUGUUAUGGAUCCGUGUUGGACCUGUGUAGACAAAUCGAAAUGUACGGUCGAAGGUUGUGUAGGAACUUGUCAUGAUGACAUCAUACUUGAAUAAAAAUCAAUAAUUUUCUUAA